GCUGGAUUUGGAGAGAAGGGGAGAGGAAAACUAGGGUCUCUUUGGAUUCUCUUCAAGCGUCUCCAAUCUCUUUACUUUCUUUGAACCUCUUUGGACUCUGAAGUUGCUUCUAGUUCCAGUUUCAAGUGAGAAGAUAGAUGAUGUUAACCUUACUUCAAGCUGCUGAAGGGAGUAUCAGUCUCUGAGAAAGGAGCUGACAUGAGAGGAACUAGCAAUCCUCCAUUAUGUCCUUAUGCUUUUUUGUUGGAGAUCCAGACCUGGACUUUCUCUUCUGGGAAGAAGGAGGAGAGAAAGCUAAAAUGUUCAGAGAGAUGAAAAGAUUUGUCAAAAGCGUCACAGUUUAUCAGAGGAAUAUAUUGAAGUCAAGAGAGAAGUGACCUGCCUGAGAUUACUUGGUCAAUUUAUGGUAGUCUGGUUUUUUGACUCUUGGUUCCUAACAGAUAAUUGGAUUGUGCUCAUGGUUAAAUCCUGCUGAAACUAAUUGAGGGCAGCCACAAAGAAGAGACAUCAUGGAAGAAUCCGAUGAUGUCACUGCAAAGCUGACUGAAUUUGUUGAAUGGCUGGGAUAUUAGGAACUGCUUGUAGACAUUCAUCUUCUCUAAUAUUUAAGAUCAUCUUCUCUGGCAUUUCGAAUAUUCCUUUUCCUGCUCCCCUCUCUGAGUAAAGAGCAGCAUGGGAAUGGUUGCUAUCUGGGAGGACAAGUUCAUGUGAUAAAUGAGACCACACAUGGAGUGGUUGAUCAUUUCUUCCUGCCACCUGUGUUUUCUUCACUUUGUUCAUUAGCUCCCUUACAGAAUCUUACAUCUGCAAAGAUGUUACAGAAUAUUUCAUCCAACUUUCUUAUUGAAUGGUCCAGGGAACUGGGGCUCACAGAGAUAACAUGAGGUGUCCAAGAUCAUGUAACACAUAAGUGGCAGAAGCUAGACUAGAGCUAAGCUUCCCAGAUCCAGUGAUCUUUCACCUUUUCACACUAUUACUUUCCACAGGCCCUAUCCUGGGGAAUGUUUGAUUGCCUCUAGAUCAUAAAUGUCAUGCCCGUCUGAAAUGAAAUAAUAAUUAAAAAAAAAAAGACGGUGACAUGGAUGCACCUUGGUGAAUGGCUCAUGAAGGCCUGGUGUGAAGGUGGAAGGCAGCACUUCCUGGCUAG
rnacentral:lncRNA from 1 species